UGAGUUAUAAAUCAGUUGGUUAGCCUACAUGUGCUGAUAUCACAGAAGUCUUGGGUUCGAGUCCCAAUACCUCAACUA
rnacentral:tRNA from 1 species